AGCGAACGCUGGCGGCAGGCCUAACACAUGCAAGUCGAACGAACCUUUCGGGGUUAGUGGCGGACGGGUGAGUAACACGUGGGAACGUGCCUUUAGGUUCGGAAUAACUCAGGGAAACUUGUGCUAAUACCGAAUGUGCCCUUCGGGGGAAAGAUUAAUCGCCUUUAGAGCGGCCCGCGUCUGAUUAGCUAGUUGGUUGAGGUAAUGGCUCACCAAGGCGACGAUCAGUAGCUGGUCUGAGAGGAUGAUCAGCCGCAUUGGGACUGAGACACGGCCCAAACUCCUACGGGAGGCAGCAGUGGGGAAUCUUGCGCAAUGGGCGAAAGCCUGACGCAGCCAUGCCGCGUGAAUGAUGAAGGUCUUAGGAUUGUAAAAUUCUUUCACCGGGGACGAUAAUGACGGUACCCGGAGAAGAAGCCCCGGCUAACUUCGUG
rnacentral:rRNA from 1 species